CCGUCGCACCUACCGAUUGAAUGGUCCGGUGAGGACUCGGGACUGUGGUUUGGCUCCUUCAUUGGGGCCUGACCGCGGGAACUUGUCCAAACCUUAUCAUUUAGAGGAAGGUGAAGUCGUAACAAGGUUUCCGUAGGUGAACCUGCGGAAGGAUCAUUA
rnacentral:rRNA from 1 species